rnacentral:misc_RNA from 1 species
CAAAAUUCUAUAUUUCACCCGUGUGUGUACACUGCCGUAGAGUUUGGUGUAACCCUGCAAUGGCAGGGGAAGCUUCUAUACAGGAAAUUGAUUAUUAAUUUAAUGUAAAAACUUUAUAAAAUAAAAUGUACUCUCUCCAGCAUGUCUGUCAGCCCUGUCGAAGUGCACCCUCCUACUGAACUUCAAGAGCUGCAAUGGAGGCAAAAUCCUGCUUUCUAUUGACUCAGUGUGUUGAGAGCUAUCUUCUUUCUAUAAAUCAUUCACAGAAACUGCGUGGAACUGCAAGUGGAAGUGUUUUUUUCUUUCUGAGAUGGAUUUAAAUGCUGCUACUAAGUGUUUCAUCCUCAUUAGAUGAUUCUAAACACUCCCAUGGGUUUGAAUAGAAAUAAUCCUCUUCUUUGGGUCGGUCUGGAAUAACCAACCUCUUGGUUGGGUUGCCCAUACGUUCAGCAUGAGCAUGCUUAACUGCAUUAGAGAACUCAUCCCAUGUCAAUGAUCCAGCAGUAUGUUGGUCUAUCAAAUCCACUAAAAGCUUUCUGUCCAACAAGAUGGUUUUCUUGUAGCCAAGAUAUCUGCGAUGUCCUUCAACAACUUUGGCCAUGUUUCCAUCAUACGUAGGAACAAAAA